rnacentral:lncRNA from 1 species
CGAUGAGUGAGCAACAUUUUUUAAUACGUCAAAGACACUGACAUUUCUCACCAGAGAAGGAGGGUGUAUGUUCAUCUACUUGGAUUUCUAUUGGUCCAUUGACUUCCCUAUUUGUUAUGCCAAAAGAAGGAAUGGACUAACAAAACUGACCGAAGAAUGAAGGAGGGAAUUAUGCUGGAUCAGGGAAGCAAAGCUACAUUCGUCGCACUUCAUCAGUCGGGCAUCAUCUGUCAUUGUGAAAGAACACGCCGUACAGGUCUCUCCGGGCAGGUGGCACAGAUAUAUACACACACAAACACAAAGGUGCACAGAUACAUUCACACAUGCACAAACAAACCUAGCCCUCAACAUCCCAAUUAUCUAGACCUAGUAUGAUCUUUCCACUAGACCUUGACCCCAUACAUGCAGUACCUCCUUGCUGAUAAAGAGGUACUGCUCAGUAUCUAUGGCCUUUCCUUUUUAGUAACAAUACUGCCUUAGUGUCUGGACACCAGGGAACGACACCCUCACUUCCACAACAGAACCAAGAAUAUUAAGAAUGUUUUGCAAUCAUUUUGUAUGUGCUUUGUAUGUGAACUUGUGCAGUACUUAAGCAAUAAAACUGUAUGCUUGGUUUUUGUACAUGCACAGAGGUUGAACUGUAAAUUGCAGCUUUCUUCUUGUCAAACAAAAGAUAUUGGAUGAUUGUGACAAUGGCAAUGACACUACUAUGACGCAGUUAAAAAAAAUGCCCACUGCAGUUACCAAAGCUUAUGAGUUAAGACCUGUAAUUACAAUGUCAUGUCUGAAUUUGAAUUUGUAUGUUUAAUUUCUUUUUUGCAUCCGUUUAAAUGCACAUUUUGUAUAAUUGCAGUAAGCCAAUACGCCACAAUUUGCAUGGUUAUAUAUGCUUUCUGGUUGUGCAAUACAUGUUUUGGUUAGUAUGUAUUAUAUUUCAUAUUUGUGAAAUUAAACAUUUUAACCAUUUAAAAUGUAUUUCAGCAGAGGUACAGCAGACUAAAAUAACAAAACCAACUCUGAUAACACAUUAGUUAGCCUAGCACCUGCUAUGAUAUGCCAUAUGUGGUUGGUGGUAAAAGGAGGAAUAGUAUUUUUCUAAGUGUCCUUCCUUUUGAGCAACGCUUACACAGGUGGAUCAUGAAAAAUCCCUGCUUUAGCCCAGGUUAUUAUAUAUUGUAUAAUUUAUAUGAUUUUAUAAUACGUCUAUGUAUAUAUCUAUUGUGUAUGUGUUUGUUUUGUUAAUCUAUAUAUUCAUAAUUUAAUAUAUAUACUGUCAUCAUCAGUCUGCAGAUACUGUCAUUAUACAUCACUCGGUCCUUCCGCUUUCAAUUUUCUUCCAUUCUUGCAAUAUGCAUUUGAUUAUCAUAUCAUUAAUUUAAUUUUCAGACCCUGAUUUUUUAACAUCAUUCCCUGCACUGAAGUUGGAUUAAAUUGCAAGGCAAAAUCCAAAUGAGAGUGGUGUAUGUGAUGUUGAAUUUUAAUGUGUUAAAUAUCAAAGCAUCCAAGAGCUUUUUGUUAGUAUUACAGAGCACACAUUACAUUACACUGUAAUAUUUCUCUUUUUCAGGUCUGAGUGUGUGUAUGUGUUUUCUGUGCAUUUAUGUUGUAGCAUUUUAUAAUAUUCUGUGCAUUUAUUAUUUAUCAUAACCAAAGUGAGGUAAUAAUCCAAAACAGAAUUUAUGGUCACUGUGUGGCAAAAUGGUUAAGCCAUAUGGCAUAUCUGAAAUGGACAAGUUGUGUCAUUAUGCAUCAGUCUACAGUGCACCAUAACCAUCAGUGCAUCAGUUCAUCCAAAAAAAAAAGAAAUGAAAAAAUUGUUCUUCGGUCCUAAAAAGCUUCCUCCUGGAAUAUGUCCCCUUCAGAACUCAUAGGCAUAUUAGUGCAAUAUUUUCACAUGGAAUAUGAACAACUGCCAUCAGUUAUUAUUUAUUAAUAUAUUUUUUAUUAUUUUUUAUUUUGAAAGAUUACCAGACCAUAUUUGGUCAGUGUUUCAGUGUAUCAUGAUUAUAAUUAUAAUAGUUAUGGUAACAAUAUGUAACAUGACUAACAUGCUUCAGAUUCAAAAUAUUACAGAAUAUAAUGUUCGUCAUGAAUACUGAAUUAAUCAUGUAUGUACAAAUAUUCAUGAGUAUAGCUAUAUGAUAUUUCAUUUGAACUAUGUUAAUCGAUAAAUAGCUG